GAUGAACGCUGGCGGCGUGCCUGAUACAUGCAAGUCGAGCGGACCAAAGAGAGCUUGCUCUCUGAGGUUAGCGGCGGACGGGUGAGUAACACGUGGGUAACCUGCCUGUAAGACGGGGAUAACUUCGGGAAACCGAAGCUAAUACCUGAUGAUAAAGAGCAAUGCCUGUUUCUUUUUUGAAAGUCGGCCGUGUGCUGACGCUUACAGAUGCGCCAGCGGCGCAUUAGCUAGUUGGUGAGGUAACGGCUCACCAAGGCGACGAUGCGUAGCCGAACGUAGAGGGUGAUCGGCCACACUGGGACUGAGACACGGCACAGACUCCUACGGGAGGCAGCAGUAGGGAAUCUUCAGCAAUGGACGAAAGUCUGACCGAGCAACGCCGCGUGAGCGAUGAAGGCCUUCGGGUCGUAAAGCUCUGUUGUCAGAGAAGAACAAGUACCGGAGUAACUGCCGGUACCUUGACGGGACCUGACCAGAAAGCCACGGCUAACUACGUGCCAGCAGCCGCGGUAAAAC
rnacentral:rRNA from 1 species